rnacentral:rRNA from 1 species
AGAGGUAGAUGGAAUUUCUGGUGUAGGGGUAAAAUCCGUAGAGAUCAGAAGGAAUACCGAUUGCGAAGGCGAUCUACUGGAACAUUAUUGACGCUGAGACUCGAAAGCGUGGGGAGCAAACAGGAUUAGAUACCCUGGUAGUCCACGCCCUAAACGAUGUCAUUAGUUGUUGUGAGGCUAGACCUUGCAGUAAUGCAGUUAACACAUUAAAUGUACCGCCUGGGGAGUACGGUCGCAAGAUUAAAACUCAAAGGAAUAGACGGGGACCCGCACAAGCGGUGGAGCAUGUGGUUUAAUUCGACUAUACGCGAAGAACCUUACCUGGCCUUGACAUAGUUAGAACCUAAUAGAGAUAUAAGGGUGCUAGUUUACUAGAGCUAACAUACAGGUGCUGCACGGCUGUCGUCAGCUCGUGUCGUGAGAUGUUGGGUUAAGUCCCGCAACGAGCGCAACCCUCGUGUUUAGUUGCUAGCAGGUUAAGCUGAGGACUCUAGACAGACUGCCUGGGUAACCAGGAGGAAGGUGAGGACGACGUCAAGUCAUCAUGGCCCUUACGGCCAGGGCUACACACGUGCUACAAUGGGAUAUACAAAGAGCAGCGAUACCGCGAGGUGGAGCAAAUCUCAUAAAAUAUCUCCCAGUUCGGAUUACACUCUGCAACUCGAGUGUAUGAAGUUGGA